rnacentral:tRNA from 1 species
AGGAUAAUAGUUUAAUAAAAACAUUUAAUUUGCAUUUAAAAAUUAUAAAAAUUUAUUUAUCUU